GUGUAUGUCACUGUGAAAGUGAAACUAGACAGAAUGCCAUUUAAAGAAUAAAGUGAGGUGACAUCACUCGAUUUGCCUACUUGAAUUAGAAGUUUACUCAUUGCAUCUUCGAGUCUCAGCUGACUCGAUUUGGAUUUUAACCAACUGGUAAACAAGACCUAUUAACAACACUAUUCAACACCCCUUCUAGCAAGAUGCCAAUACCCUUAUAGUUAAACAGUAUUUCAGAUCAUCAGCACCCGGUCACUAAUUUAAAAACUGACCUUUUGAAUUUGCCACGUGGAUGAGCCUGGGAAGUCAAAGGACAAGGAAAAAUCUUAUAAAAAAGAAGAAAGACAGCUGCCAAGGUUGCGAUUGGAUCAACUUCAGAGUAAGUCUGUGGAACAGGGUGGCAUUUGCAAAGGCACUGAAGAGCUCUCAUGGCAUCAGGCUGCUGGUGGUGACAGAGCCAUCUGUCCUGUCUUUUUUGCCCUUUCCUGUCUGCCAUUAAUUUUCCACAAAGGCUCCAAGCGACAGUCUCCUCAUAGUGACCAUACUUGGAAACAAGGUGUCUGACAGGCAGGGGGAGAAUGGCAAUAAUCUCUAAGAGCCCCCGUGUUACGGCUUGGGAAAAAAUAGCUGAGAGUUUGCAAAGUAACAAAGAAGAAAUGAAAAGCGAGAAGGUCUGCUGACAGGAGGAUUCGGCAGGCACGCACCCCCUCGUUACAUGCGGUGCAGGAGCGGAGGCGUGCGCUCCUUGUGUGCGCGCUGCCGGCAGUAAACAACUGCUGUGGAAAUUCUCCUGUACUCUGAAGAAAUUGUGACUGUACUAACACUCAGGAUUCACUCAAACUAGAACACUUCAACUGGAAAAGACCUACAACAAUCACCUAGUUCAACAGCCAUUUUAGGUUUUUAUUGUGACUGGGAUCUGAAAUGAGGAGGCUGCAGCCACAGGGCAGAGCAAUGACCACUUUAGAACCGUAGCUGCCCAGCAUCUGGGGCCCUUGCCGUGCAUGGACCUUGAAAGCUUGCCUUAUUCUGAUGAUACGUCUACAGGUGUGAUUGGUAGGAGAUUGAUUUUGGUAGAAGAAUUAGAGAAAAUAAAUAAAAUAAUGACUCAAAGCAUUACACAUUUGUUCAAACCCUUGAAUAGUUGUUUACACUCCUACUUUUACUAUAAAUUGGUACCUCACAGCUUCUUUGUAUAAGACAGUAAGCCAGUCUAGCAGGAUGACCUAGUUAUUUUUAAAGCCCACUUAUGUCAAUGCUCUCUGUCCUGUGACCAUGUUGGCCACCAUUAUUUCGGGGUGAGGUCAGUCUUUUUCUUUGCUUGGGCCCUCUGCCAGUUUCUCAACACCUGCCUUGAAAGUGACAGCUCUAUGGGUGUCCUCAUAAAUUAAAAAUCAUGUGCCUCUACCCCGAUGCCUUGGGACAGGCACAAAGUUAGAAACUGUCCUGUAACCCUAGCCCUAGGGCUGCUGCACGGGACAGCUGAGCAGCAGGCAGUGAGCCCCAGCAGCGGGGGGCUGGCUACACCACAGCCCUCAGGCAGCACCCAGCCUUGUGCCAAUGGGCAUGUGGCUGUACCCAGUGAGAGCCAGGGAUGGCCCAAAGGUAAUGGCCUUCCCCCACGGUGAAGAGUGGAGAAACCAAGAGGCUAACAAGGGGGAGCUGCAGGUUUUGUGCAGCACCUCUGUGCUUGUGUUUCCAGAACAAACUGAACUGGCAG